CUCAGGCUGUGACUCUACAAAGGAAAGCGCUUUCUGUUGUCAGAAAGAAGAGAAAGCGCUUCCCUUUUGAGGGUUACGGUUUGAGAA
ensembl:miRNA